UUUGCUCCUUUUUUAUUUCUUUUCCCUUUCUUUUAUUAUUUUUAACCUUAUUUAUUUCCCCUUUCAUUUUAUUUUUUUUCCCACCUAUUUUUAUUAUAUUGAAAAUAUUUCCAACAUAAACUCCUAUUAGUUUUUCCUCUUCUAUUUUAUUAUGCUUUAUUUCUUUUCAUUUGACAAAUUUUUUAUUGACUUAUGAGGUCUUGAAUAUUGACAGUUAAUGAAGUCUAUUAGAACAUGAUGUUGGGUUGAUUGGACCUUCUAUGUUUCAAAUCUAU
rnacentral:lncRNA from 1 species